rnacentral:rRNA from 1 species
AGCGAACGUUAGCGGCGGGCUUAACACAUGCAAGUCGAGCGAGAGAGUGACUUCGGUCAUGAGUAAAGCGGCAGACGGGUGAGGAACACGUAGGUAAUUUUCCGUUUAGUGGGGGACAACGGUCCGAAAGGACCGCUAAUACCGCAUACGUUUCUUGGGACUUUGGUCUUGGGAAGGAAAGCUGGGCAACUGGCGCUAAAUGAGAAGCCUGCGUCGCAUCAGCUAGUUGGUGGGGUAAUGGCCUACCAAGGCGAAGACGCGUAGCUGGUCUGAGAGGAUGAUCAGCCACACUGGAACUGAGACACGGUCCAGACUCCUACGGGAGGCAGCAGUGGGGAAUAUUGGACAAUGGGCGCAAGCCUGAUCCAGCCACGCCGCGUGAGUGAUGAAGGCC